rnacentral:rRNA from 1 species
AACGUAGGAGACAAACGUUAUCCGGAGUUACUGGGCGUAAAGGGCGUGUAGGUGGUUACGUAAGUCUGGCGUGAAAGUCCGGGGCUCAACUCCGGAUCUGCGGUGGGUACGGGCAGACUAGAGUGAUGUAGGGGAGACUGGAAUUCCUGGUGUAGCGGUGAAAUGCGCAGAUAUCAGGAGGAACACCGAUGGCGAAGGCAGGUCUCUGGGCAUUAACUGACGCUGAGGAGCGAAAGCAUGGGGAGCGAACAGGG